CAUACGGACGCAAACACGUCUCUGGCGCCCAUCACUAUAUCCAUACCAACCCCUGUGCACUGUGAUGACGAAUGUCAUCGAACAAAAAAAACUCGUAUGGUUGAAUGUACGUGAAAUUGUAGGUAUAGCCUACGAACUAUACACAACUUUCGACAACGGAUCUCUUGGUUCUCCCAUCGAUGAAGAACGCAGCGAAACGCGAUAGGUAAUGUGAAUUGCAGAAUUCCGUGAAUCAUCGAAUCUUUGAACGCACCUUGCGCUCCAUGGUAUUCCGUGGAGCAUGCCUGUUUGAGUGCCGCGAAUUCUCCCUCCCCUUACGGUGGCCGAAAGGCCGAAGUAGGGCGGACGGGGUAGGAUGGGUGUUGCUGCCUGGGGAUUGUACCAGGCUCGCCCGAAAUGCAUAAGCGCCAGGACCCUCGCUACCGCUCUCUAGGGAAGAGUGGCUAAGCGACCGCUGAGCAUGGCAUGAUACGUCAUUUGCUGUGUGUGGGCGGCCGGUUGGAGAGGUGUCUGCUUUACCAGCCCUUUUUUAAUUCUGGUCUCAAAUCA
rnacentral:rRNA from 1 species